UUUUAACUUCUUGAAUAUGUUGAAUUUGGAGGAACUUAAAUAUCAAGUUUUAACCAAUGGGAAAUCCAACUUAUUUGCUCUAAAUUACUUUAGAGAGAUUAUUUAAAUUCAAAAUGAUCUCAAUAUGUUAAUAUAUUCUUUCUUACAUUAUCAAUGGUUGAGAUCUAAGAGUCCAACUUCAACAUUAGAAACUGUUAAAUUUUUUUGGUGUUAAACUAGACUAGACCUAUCCAAAAAUGAUUUAGAAGUUGGAAUAUUAGUGAGCUUCUUUAACUGGAUUAUUGUUGUUUUUAUUUUUAUCGAACAACUUUAAUACAUAUUAGUGUUUGUCAGUGUGUGAUCUCCUUUAUUUUCUAUAUUCCAUUGAUAAUGAACAAGGAUUAAUUAAUUAGUGCGUUUGAUUUGGUUCUUCAACAAAUAUUAAACAUGUCAUAUGAAAAGACAAUAACAUCGUAAUUUCCCCUACUAUAAUGGGACUUAAAUUCUUUUACUUAUUAAGCUGUUGAUUUCCACCCUAUUUAACAUUGUUAUUGGUGGAUGUGAAGUUAAAUUGCAUGAGUAAUAAAUAAAAUUUAUAAUUUAAUAUUGUACUUAUUGUGAAUAGAUGAUGCUAGGAUCACGUUAGUUGAAUUGGCUAUAUGGUCUCUAAUUUACGAUCCCUAUAUUUAAGGUUUAGAUGACAUCAAAUUUAGCAUGAGAAUUACUGGUUGCUAUACGAGAGAUGUCGCAACAGCAACCACCUCAACAGCCACGAGACAGGCCGGGAACAUCUUCAAUUGUAAAACAAUUUCACAAGCUACACCCACAUGUGUUUGAAGGUGGCCCUGAUCCACUGGCUGCUGAAGAAUGGCUUCGCUAUCUCGAGCGUAUCUUUAGAUUUAUGGAAUGCAUUGACGCACAAAAAAUCCUUUGUGCGGUAUUUAUGAUGGAAAAGGGAGCAGGCCAUUAGUGGGAGAUGACUAUUAGAUCCCGCACCGAGGAACAACAGCGUAACCUUACAUGGGCACAGUUCAAAGAGAUAGUACUUCAAAAGUACCUUUCCAGCCACUUUAAGAGACAAGAAGGAAGCAGAGUUUCUUGAACUGAAGUAGGGAAACAUGACGGUCACCGAUUAUGAGGAAAAAUUUGAGGAGUUGUCUAGAUUUACCCCCACAUUUGGUGGACAUGGAGGAGAUACAAGCUUGAUGCUUUGAGCAUGGGCUGAGAACUGACAUUAGAAAAGCGAUGGCAGUAUUCCAAUUAGGUACUUAUCAUGGAGUUCUAGAAAAAGCUCAAGUAUACGCAUUUGAUGAUGACCAUACUGGUGAAAGUAGUAAGCAGCAGACAGCUUCCUUAAACAAACGCAAGUGGUAUGACAAUAACAAGAGGAAUGGAAAAGGUCCCAACAAGAAGGGAAUGACAGAAAUAGAUGCAAAUAUCCAUGACAAGAAUCCACGACCUCUUAGUCCCAAAUGUCAGAAACCAUAUAAGGGAGAAUGCUUGGCAGAAAAAGGUGUCUGUUACAAAUGUGGCAAGCCAAGACACGUCGUGAAAGACUGCAUUGAGGGAUAAUCUAAGAAGACUGAAGAUCAAAAGGUGGGCAAGGCAAGAGUUUUUACUUUAACACAGGAAGAGGCAGAGCUUGACUGCAAUGUAGUGGCAGGUAUAAUAUCAAUCUCUGACAUGCCUACUUUUAUAUUAAUUGAUUCAGGAGCUACACACUCGUUUCUUUUUUCAAUAUUCAUUUCAAAGUCAAAUAUAGAAUGUGUACCCCUUGAUAGCAUAUUAGAAGUAUUAUUACCGUCUGGAAAGGUGCUCAAUGCAAAUUAUAUAGCGAGGAACCUAAAUCUAGAAAUGGAUGGGAAGAUUAUAAAAACAGACUUAGUGGUCUUAGAUUUGAAAGAUUUUGAUGUUAUACUUAGGAUGGACUGGUUGUCAAAAAAUCAUGCAAUCAUUUGUUGUUUCGAGAAGGAUGUAAUUUUUCAACUACCUAGCGAAGAAGAAUUUCACUUCUUUGGAACAAAGGUGAAAUCUCUGCCCUGACUUAUAUCAGCAGUAUAGGUUGUACGCUUGUUGAAAAAGAAGACGGCUCAAGGAUUCUUAGUGUCAUUGGCCAGCACUAAUCAAAAGGAACCAUUGACAAAGUCCCAGUGGUUAAGAAUUUUUCAGAUGUAUUUCCAAAAGAUUUACCAGGAAUGCCUCCAAAUCGAGAGGUAGAGUUCACUAUUGACCUUGUACUGAGUGCCACACUAAUUUCGAAGGCCUCUUAUCGUAUGGCACCAGUAAGACUUCAAGAAUUGAAAGUACAAUUACAAGAGUUACUAGACAAGGGUUUUAUUAGACCCAGUAUCUGACCAUGGGGAGCUCCAAUAUUGUUCGUGAAGAAGAAUGAUGGAUCGAUGUGAAUGUGUAUUGAUUAUCGAGAGCUUAACCAUAUUACAAUUACAAAUAAAUAUCCCAUUCCUAGAAUUAAAGAUUUAUUUGACCAGCUAUAAGAUGCCAAGGUCUUCUCAAAAUUUGAUUUAAGAUCAGGCUAUCAUCAGUUGAAAAUUAAAUCAAAUGACGCUCCUAGGACUGCAUUUAGGACUCGAUAUGGGAGUUCUUGGUGAUGCCCUUUGGCUUGAGAAAUGCGACAACAAUCUUUAUCGAUCUCAUAAAUCGAAUUUUCCACAACUAUCUGGACCAGUUUGUUAUUGUUCUCAUUGAUGACAUACUAAUCUAUUCAAAGAGUGAGCAUGAACAUAUGAAACACCUAAGGAUUAUUUUCGAAAUACUGAGGAAGGAAAAGCUCUAUGCCAAAUUCAAAAAGUGUGAAUUUUGGCUCAAUAGAGUGGGAUUUUUAGGCCACAUAAUUACAGCCCAAGGAAUUGAAGUUGAACCGAGUAAAGUGGUAGCAAUUACCAAUUGGCCUCGACCAACUAAUGUUAGAGAAGUAUGCAGCUUCUUGGGAUUAUGAAGGAUUUUCAAAGAUUGCCAUCCCAAUGACUCAGUUAACGAGGAAAAAUGUGAAGUUUCAAUUGACGGAUAGAUGCGAACAGAGCUUUCAGGAACUAAAAUAGAAAUUGAUCUCAGCUCCAGUUUUGACCAUACCCAAAGGAUCAAAAGGCUUUAUUAUCUACAGGGAUGCAUCUAAGCAGGGUCUAGGAUGUAUACUUAUGCAGCAUGGUAAAGUUAUCGCAUAUGUUUCCAGAAAACUAAAUUCAUAUGAAGAAAACUAUUCGACACAUGACCUGGAGUUAGUAGCAGUAGUUCAUGCACUGAAGAUUUAGCGACACUAUCUCUACGGAGCUAAAUGUGAUAUUUACACGGACUACAAGAGCCUAAAGUUUUUCUUCACCCAAAAGGAAUUGAACAUGAGACAACGCAGAUGGCUAGAAUUGGUGAAGAUUAUGAUUGUGCCAUUCAUUAUUAUCCAGGAAAGGUCAAUGUAGUUGUUAAUGCAUUAAGCAGAAAGACAACAGGACAUUUGACAGCUUUGCUACAUAGGAAUCAUUAAUUAGAGAUAUCAAUAGCUUACAACUUGAGGUAAUCUUACCUCCAGCAGAUAUUGCAGCACGAAUUGCUACCCUCACAAUUCAACCUACUAUUCAAUAUACAAAAUUAAGAAAGCUCAGGAUAGUGAUCCAUUUCUACAAAAGAUUAAAGGUUAAGUUGGUACUGGCAAACGAAAAGGUUUUGAGUUAGCUGAAGAUAACACAUUGAUGUUUAAAGGAAGAUUGUGUGUACCAAAGAAUAAGGAGAUACGAAAAGAAAUAUUAGAUGAAGCUCACUUCACCCCAUAUGCAGCACAUCCCGGGGGAAUAAUGAUAUAUAAAGACCUUCAAAGCACAUUCUGGCGGUGAAAUAUAAAAAAAAUAGGUCUAUUUGUAGAGAAGUGCAUGGUUUGUUGGCAAGUCAAAGCGGAACAUCGAAGACCAUCAGGAUUAUUAAACACACUAGAGAUUCCUGAAUGGAAAUGUGAGCACAUUGCUAUGUAUUUUGUAAUUGGUUUUCCAAAUUCAAAUAGAGAAAAUGAUGCAAUUUGGGUUAUUAUUGAUAGAUUAACAAAGUCAUCUCACUUCUUACCAGUAAAAAUGACCUUUAAUAUGGAUCAACUAGCUCAGCUAUAUGUUAGAGAAGUGAUCAAAUUACGUGGGACCCCAGUCUCAAUUGUGUCAGACAGAGAUUCGAGAUUCACUUCAAUAUUUUGGAAAGGUAUGCACCAGGCAAUGGGGACUAAGCUAAACUUCAAUACAGCUUUUCACCCACAUUCAGAUGGUCAGUCAGAGAGGACUAUUCAAAUUCUUGAAGACGUGCUUUGAGCAUGCUUCCUCGAUCUUGGAGGAAGUUGGGAAAAACAUCUACCAUUAGUAGAAUUUGCCUAUAAUAAUAGGUAUCAAACUACUAUAGGAAUGGCCCCUUAUGAGGCUUUAUACGGUAGGAGGUGCAAAUCCCCAUCUCAUUGGGAUGAAGUUGGUGAGCGAAGAAUUCUAGGGCCUGAGAUUAUUGAACGAACAAUCCAAGCUAUUGAAAAGAUUCGUGCUAGAAUAAAGACUGUCCAAGACUGACAGAAAAGCUAUGCAGAUGACAGAAGGAAGGAUCUUGAGUUUGAGGUUGGUGACAAAAUUUUCCUAAAAAUAGCUCCUAUAAAGGGAGUUAUUCGAUUUUGUAAAAAGGGAAAGCUCCAACCAAGAUACAGAGGGCCUUUUGAGAUUUUGAAAUGUGUGGGAACUAUAGCUUAUAAGCUGGCAUUGCCUCCCGAACUUUCAACAGUACACAAUGUCUUUCAUGUCUCUAUGCUUUGAAAAUAUGUAUAAAACCCUGGGCACGUGAUUAAUCCUAAAUCGUUAGACAUUCACCCAAAUCUAACUUAUGAGGAAACUCCAAUAGUCAUCUUGGAUAGGAUGUUUCGAACACUUCGAAACAUCCAUUUCAAUUCCAUUGGUAAAAGUUUAGUGGCGAAAUCACGCAGUGGAAGAGUCUACUUGGGAACACGAGGUAGAUAUUAAAGCUAAAUACCCUUAAAUUUUCGAAAAUCAAGGUAAAUUUCAAGGACGAAAUUUUUUUUAAGGAGGGGAGGAUGUAAUAGCCAAAAUAAAUAAAUCAUAAAAUAUAUUAUGAGGCAUAAAAUGUAUGAAAUUAAACUUUAAUAUUAUUUUGGAUAUAUAUUGAAUUAUUUUAUAAAAUGAAGUUUAAAUAAAUUUAGUAUUUUAACAUAUUUAUACUAGAAUCUUAUCCUCAUGUAAUUAGGAUUUUAUGUGGUAAAAUUGUUUGUUAAGAGCUCUAUUUGAAGUCAAAUUGAGAUUUUAUUAGAAGUCUAAAUGGGUAACUCAUCCUAAUCUAAUUACCAUUGUUUAAUAGUCUUGAGACUUGCACUUACUUCAUGCUAAAUUACAUAAAGCAAAAAACGAGAGAGAGAGAGAGAGGCAGAAGAGAAAACGUAAAGAAGGAAGGAAGAAAAAAGGAAAAGAAUUUUUUUGAUGCGUUCGAGAUUCAUUUGCAAGAAUUUUCAAUCCUAAAUAGUUCAAGUACACUAGGAAUUUAUCGAAUAGGUAUGGAUUUCUCUAAAUGCCCAGUGAUUUUGUGUUUUCACUCUUUAGUGCUUUAAGUUGAGUAUUUUAUGUGCUACUUUGUUAUCCAAAGUAAAUAAAAAUAUUGUGGGAAAUAUCAUAGGGUAUUAUUAUGUAGAUUUACACAGAAACCAGCCACAAGGCUAAAUACCAUAAGUGGAGAUUGAGAAUAGGUUUGACCUAAGUGAGAAUGAGAUUGUCAGGUUUCUAUCCUACUAGAAAGUUAUGUUAUAUGGGUAUUUUACUUACUUUUCAUAUUAAACUGUGAAAAUACUAGCAUGAAAUCUAUACUGAGUAUAUUCAUAUGCUCAUUCCAUAUUUUAAAUUAUUUUUACAGAUGCUUGAUGAAUCGGAGUUGGAAGUUGAGACUGCUGACAGAGUUCAUGUUGCUGGAU
rnacentral:lncRNA from 1 species